rnacentral:rRNA from 1 species
ACAUUAAGUUGUGACUGCGUACCUUUUGUAUAAUGGGUCAGCGAGUUAAUUUAUUGAGCAAGCUUAAGCCGAUAGGUGUAGGCGAAGCGAAAGCGAGUAUUAAUAGUGCGAUUUAGUUCGAUGGAUUAGACCCGAAACCGGGUGAUCUAGCUAUGGGCAGGUUGAAGGUGCGGUAACACGCACUGGAGGACCGAACCCACGUCUGUUGAAAAAGACGGGGAUGACCUGUGGCUAGGGGUGAAAGGCCAAUCAAACCCGGAGAUAGCUGGUUCUCCGCGAAAACUAUUUAGGUAGUGCGUCAUGUAUUACUGUCGGGGGUAGAGCACUGGAUGGGCUAGGGGGGCGCGAGCCUUACCAAACCUAACCAAACUCCGAAUACCGACAAGUACAGCAUGGCAGACAGACUAUGGGUGCUAAGGUCCAUAGUCGAGAGGGAAACAGCCCAGACCUCCAGCUAAGGUCCCUAAAUUGUGGCUAAGUGGGAAAGGAUGUGGGAAGGCCAAGACAGCCAGGAGGUUGGCUUAGAAGCAGCCAUCCUUUAAAGAAAGCGUAACAGCUCACUGGUCUAAAUAAGCUAUUCUGCGCCGAAAAUGUAACGGGGCUGAAGUCAUACACCGAAGAUGCGGGCGCGCAAGCGCGGUAGCGGAGCGUUCCCUAGACCUGUGAAGGUGUCACGCGAGUGGCGCUGGAGGUAUGGGAAGUGAGAAUGCUGACAUGAGUAGCGAUAAAGAGUGUGAGAAACACUCUCGCCGUAAGCCCAAGGGUUCCUGCGCAAGGUUAAUCCGCGCAGGGUUAGUCGGCCCCUAAGAUAAGUGCGAAAGCAGUAGUCGAUGGGAACACGGUUAAUAUUCCGUGACCUGAUGGUAGUGACGGAUGGUGUAAAUUGUAAAUGCUUAUCGGAUUGCGUUUGCAGUGAAGCCGUUCCAGGAAAUAGCUCCAUCAUUAAGACCGUACCCGAAACCGACACAGGUGGGCAGGUAGAGAAUACCAAGGCGCUUGAGAGAACGAUGUUGAAGGAACUCGGCAAAAUGCCCCCGUAACUUCGGGAUAAGGGGGACCUCUGUUUGGGCAACCAGACAGGGGUGGCACAGAAUAGGGGGUGGCGACUGUUUAUUAAAAACACAGGGCUCUGCGAAGUAGUAUAUACGACGUAUAGGGUCUGACGCCUGCCCGGUGCUGGAAGGUUAAGAGGAGGUGUGAGAGCUCCGAAUUGAAGCCCCAGUAAACGGCGGCCGUAACUAUAACGGUCCUAAGGUAGCGAAAUUCCUUGUCGGGUAAGUUCCGACCUGCACGAAUGGCGUAACGACUUCCCCGCUGUCUCCAACAUCAACUCAGCGAAAUUGAAUUCCCCGUGAAGAUGCGGGGUACCCGCGGUCAGACGGAAAGACCCCGUGCACCUUUACUACAGCUUUGCAGUGGCAUCAGGAAGCCGAUGUGCAGGAUAGGUGGGAGGCUUGGAACUUGUAGCGCCAGCUAUGAGGGAGCCAUCCUUGAGAUACCACCCUUCUGCUUUCUGUUGUCUAACCGAGAUCAGUUAUCCUGGUCCGGGACCCUGCAUGGUGGGUAGUUUGACUGGGGCGGUCGCCUCCCAAAGAGUAACGGAGGCGCGCG